CGGCUGGACGAUGCAGAAUGAAGAAGACGAGUUUGAUCCUGAAUCACCUUGGUGGAUGGGUGAUGUAUGGAAAUGUCAAACUUUAAAGGAGAAGCCAACUAUAUAGCUCAUUCUCUAUGAUUUAACGGUGUGAAAAUAACGGGAAAAAGUCCGUUUUUCAUCUCGUUGAGACGUUUUCGUUUUAUAGAAAUUUUUUUAUGUAGAUAUUUCAGUUUCUUUUCGUUAAUUCUAACGAAAGUUGAUAAAAGUGAAUAAAAUUACCUAUUUUUCAUUUGAUAUACGCCAAAACUUUAAAGUGAAUUGUUUCAAAACAGUUGUAAUGCGAGAACUACAAUGAGCUGUGAAGCUUUUCGAAAAAUCCUGGUGAUUAAGAAUGAUGAGAACUACUCACUGCAUGUGAAAUAUCAAGCUAUUUCACAAUAAUUUAUAACGACAAGGUCCAGGGAAGCUAUAGUAGCACGGCCAAGACAAGUACGACAGCUUCUUCAAACUGUCGCUGUAACUGCGUUUUAUAAAAUAGUUCAGCAAUGAAGUACAAAGAUACACGAAUGGAAGUUAAAAGUAUGUACAUAUACCUCUUAAGGGCAGAUCAUGGAAGUUUUUUUUUGUCAGAUAUGCAACAGCAAUAUUUUCGACCAAAUUAUAGGUUAGGUUGAACAUAUUUACAUAAAGUCUUCUGACAAAAAGUUUGUGCUUCAUUUUAAAGAUAAUUCAAAGUUUUUGAUGCAAAAAAUACAUGUAUCAAAUACGACAUAUACCUUUUAGUACUGGCUUCCACUUUUUGGUGAGUGGGUUUUGUUCUAGCAGGCUCUCUGAGAAGAUGAUUUAUUUCGAAACGACAGUUACUAUCGGAACUUCCCCGAGUAUAUACUAUUUUUGCAAGAACGUACCUAUAAACUUUCCACUAGUUCGUGGUAUCAGCGUGGCGCUGUAGUCUAUCUCGCUCCCAGUCUAUAUACCUAAUGUAUGGGACAGCCCGCCUACCGGUGUCAAUCUGUCCACUUAGCGAUCACAGUUUCCCAAAAGUCUCGUGAGAGUUUGAAGCGGUGUUCUUAUAGCUCCUCCUUCAGCUUCUCCGCUCUUUGUUCGACACUCGCUCUCAAACGUGCCGGAUUGGACCUCGUGUCAGGCUCGUGUGUCCGCCAAAAUGGCCAAGGGAAAUUCUUUGGAGAAUCAAGGGACCUGGUAUUUAACUGUUUUUACGGAAAGGGACGCAAGUAACGAAGAGAAAGAAUCAGUAGAGGCCAUCCCCGACUUCUGGAUACUUGAUGACAAGAAACAUGCUGUAUGGCCGCCAUUUAAAAACGAACGAAAAAUAAUAAAAGCCAUCGCAUCCAGCAAAACUCCUGACGAGUUGGCUUCUUUAUGAAGUGAAACAAAUUUAUUUAGAUGUUGCAUGUACUUCAUACGAAGAAGCUGCCAAAAAAGCGGAAUUAGCAGAGGACACAUCAGUUUUUAAUGAUGAAGAUCAGAAACUACAGAACCCCAACAAUCGCAAAUUCUAUAAAAGAAAGAAAGGUUCUAGCUCUGAUGAAGAUGAGGAAGAACAGCGAAUACGUAAUAAGAAGUUCAACAUAGGAGAAAACUCUAUUCCAACGUCCCCAACCUCACAGAAAGGCGAUAUUUACAAUCUACCAGCACAAAUCU